UACAGAGGGUGCGAACGUUGUUCGGAAUCACUGGGCAUAAAGCGCACGUAGGCGGCACCGCAAGUGUGGGGUGAAAUCCCACGGCUUACCCGUGGAACUGCCUGGCAGACUGCGGUGCUAGAGGUUGGUAGGGGAGAGCGGAACUCUUGGUGGAGCGGUGAAAUGCGUAGAUAUCAAGAGGAACACCGGUGGCGAAGGCGGGUCUCUGGGCAGUAACUGACGCUGAGAAGCGAAAGCGUGGGUAGCGAACAGG
rnacentral:rRNA from 1 species